rnacentral:tRNA from 1 species
GGGUCUGUAGCUCAACUGGCAGAGCAGUAGCCUCUUAAGCUAUUGGUUGAGGGUUCGAGUCCCUCCAGACUCA